rnacentral:lncRNA from 1 species
GGACUUCUGUAAGGCCUUUGACACGGUCCCUCACAACAUCCUGCUUGCCAAAUUAGAGGGAUAUGGAUUUGAUGGGUGGACUGUUCAGUGGAUAAGGAACUGGCUGGAUGGUCGCAUCCAGAGGGUGGUACUCAAUGGCUCAAAGUCCAGAUGGAGAGCAGUGACAAGUGGUGUCCCACCAAGCUGUGUGGUGUUGUCGAUACACCAGAGGGAUGGGAUGUCAUUCAGAGGGACCUGGACAGGCUGGAGAGGUGGGCCCAGGUGAACCUCAUGAGGUUCAACAAAAGCAAGUGCAGGGUUCUGCACCUGGGCCGGAACAAUCCUCAGUAUCAAUACAGACUAGGGGAUGAGGUAUUAGAAAGCAUCCCUGAGGAAAGGGACUUGGGGGUGCUGGUGGAUGAGAAGCUGGACAUGAGCAGGCAGUGUGCACUUGCAGCCCAGAAGGCCAAUCGCAUCCUGGGCUGCAUCAAAAGAUGCGUUGCCAGCAGGUCCAGAGAGGUGAUUCUUCUGCUUUACUCUGCUCUGGUGAGACCUCACCUGGAGUAUUGUGUGCAGGUCUGGAGCCCUCAAUAUAGGAAGGACAUGGACCUGAUGGAGAGGGUCCAGAGGAGGGCCACUAAAAUGAUCAGGGGGUUGGAGCACCUCUGCUAUGAGGACAGGCUGAGGGAGCUGGGGUUGUUCAGCCUGAAGAAGAGGAGGCUCUGGGGAGACCUAAUAACAGCCUUCCAGUACCCGAAGGGGGCCUACAGGAAGGCUGGGGAGAGCCUGUUUACAAAGGCCUGCAGUGACAGGACGAGGGGUGUGGAGGAAUGGCUGUGUGAAAAGGGGCACGAUUUAAUUGCGAUGAGCAACCCAGUCUUUGAUGUAGAUAAAGGCCUGGAGGUGACCAUGAACUCUCCUGAGAAAAGCAGAAGUAAGAAGAAGUAGCUACUUGGUAGAUAAGAUAAACGGGACCGCAUCCAGAAGAUGAGAGAAUGUUGCUGCGCGUGGACAAGGGGUCUACACCAAUUGUGUGAGCGCUCUAGUCGCGUGAACAGAGAUUGUAAGCCAAUCGUAUAACUGUCACUAGCGCGUGCUCUGC